AGCAGCCGCAGUAAUUCCAGCUCCAAUAGCGUAUAUUAAAGUUGUUGCAGUUAAAAAGCUCGUAGUUGAAUUUCGGGAUCGAUAUUUCGGUCAUGCCGUUGGUAUGCACUGUUAUCAUUGAUUUCUCACCUUCUAAAGAACCGUGAUGCCAUUAAAAAUGGUGUUACGGGGAAUUAGGACUGUUACCUUGAAAAAAUUAGAGUGUUUAAAGCAGGCUCACGCUUGAAUACAUUAGCAUGGAAUAAUGAAAUAGGACAUCCGAUUCUAUUUUGUUGGUUUCUAGGAUCGAUGUAAUGAUUAAUAGGGAUAGUUGGGGGCAUUAGUAUUCAAUUGUCAGAGGUGAAAUUCUUGGUAUUUAUUGAAAGACUAACUACUGCGAAAGCAUUAGCCAAGGAUGUUUUCAUUAAUCAAGAACGAUAAGUCAGGGGAUCGAAGACGAUCAGAUACCGUGCGUCAGUCUUAACCAUAAACUAUGCCGACUAGGGAUCGGAUGAUGUUAAUUUUUUAAUGACUCA
rnacentral:rRNA from 1 species